rnacentral:rRNA from 1 species
UGCGUAGGCGGCCCGUUAAGUCGGGGGUGAAAUACUUCGGCUCAACCGGAGAAUUGCCUUCGAUACUGGCGGGCUGGAGGAAGGUAGGGGUCGCGGGAACUGCCAGUGGAGCGGUGAAAUGCGUUGAUAUUGGCAGGAACGCCGGUGGUGUAGACGCGCGGCUGGACCUUUUCUGACGCUGAUGCACGAAAGCCAGGGGAGCAAAACGG